AGAUAGCCCAACUGGGGCUCAAUCCCAGAACACUGGGACUAUGACCUGAGCCGAACGCAGAUGCCUAACGACUAAGCUGCCCAGGCGACCCCUGACACAUUCUUUUAGAAAGACAGAGAAUGGGCUGGAAUAUAGAAGCAUUUUUAUUUGACCAGCCAACCAAGAACUGAUUCUCUAAUUAGCAAGGGAGGUUGGCAUAAGAGAGGGCUCUUUUGGGGCAGGGCCUGUCGGAUACCAGUGACUCAGAAGUUGUCCCCACGGGGGCAGCAGAGAGCACUGAAAAAGAACCUGGGAAGUUUCUGAAACCAGGGAGAAGUGUAGCACCUAAAUACUGGGUAACAUUUAUAGAAUACUUACUAUGGGCUGGGCUGUAUGCUAAAGCUCAUAUGUUAAUUUCAUAUAAUCAUUAAAAUAAUGACCUAUGGGGUGGAUGUUGUAUUUUCCCUUUUACAGAUGAGAAAAGCUCAGAGAAAUUAAGGAACUCGUCCAAAGACUUAUUGGUUAAAGUCAGAGCAGGGGAACAAAAAAAGGGAGCCGGUUAAGGAGAGUUUUAGAAAGAUCAUUACGAUUCAGUGACGGUGGUCCUCCUCCUUCUAUUCGGGAGCGAGGAGACACUGGAAUUCUAGCUUAUAGUUGGGUUUGAAGCUGAAAUGGAAGUUUGGAGCUAGUCAAAUGUUGGGUGAAAAUGAGUAACAGGAACAGCCUGCAGUUCAUGGGGAUCCAAGAACAAGAGAGAACAGAAAGGUAAGCUGCUGUAGGAUGAAGUUCAAGAGUAAAGGGGACAGGGAUAUGGGAGUCAGAAUGGCCCUGGAAGAGCACCCCAACAGCGGAAUCUUCUUUAAGGGAAUGUCUGUUCUGUAAAGAUUUUAAUUUUGGCAGAGCUGGGGAAUAGCGUGGACUGGGACAAGCAGUCCUAACAGAGCAUUCAGAUCAACAAAGGUACAUCUACUAUUUCAAUUGGUACGAUCGUUGAUUUGGAAAAAAAA